UACGGAGGGGGCGAGCGUUAUUCGGAAUUAUUGGGCGUAAAGAGCUCGUAGGCGGUGUGUCGCGUCGGCCGUGAAAACCUGCAGCUUAACUGUGGGCUUGCGGUCGAUACGGGCAUCACUGGAGUUCGGCAGGGGAGACUGGAAUUCCUGGUGUAGCGGUGAAAUGCGCAGAUAUCAGGAGGAACACCGGUGGCGAAGGCGGUUCUCUGGGCAUGUCCUGACGCUGAGGAGCGAAAGUGUGGGGAGCGAACAGG
rnacentral:rRNA from 1 species